rnacentral:rRNA from 1 species
UGGAAGUAAAAGUCGUAACAAGGUUUCCGUAGGUGAACCUGCGGAAGGAUCAUUACUUUCAGUAGUUUACUACUGUUUUGAGGGAGGUGGAAAUUUCUUGGGCCUAGCUCGAGGAAUAGUACACGCCCUCUUUAUACCCUUGUCUUUUUGCGCACUCAUGUUUCCUCGGUAGGCUUGCCUGCCGGUCGGACAUUUAAUAACCUUUUUAAUCUUCAAUCAGCGUCUGAACAAUUAUAAUAAUUACAACUUUCAACAACGGAUCUCUUGGUUCUGGCAUCGAUGAAGAACGCAGCGAAAUGCGAUAAGUAGUGUGAAUUGCAGAAUUCAGUGAAUCAUCGAAUCUUUGAACGCACAUUGCGCCCCUUGGUAUUCCAUGGGGCAUGCCUGUUCGAGCGUCAUUUGUACUCUCAAGCUAUGCUUGGUGUUGGGUGUUUGUCUGUGCUUUAUGCUUAGACUCGCCUUAAAUAUAUUGGCAGCCGAUAUAUUGGUUUGAAGCGCAGCACAAUUUGCGAAUCUUGCCUUUAAUAUUAGCCCCCAUAAAGUAUAAUUAACACUUUGACCUCGGAUCAGGUAGGAGCGGCA